CAUUCCAAAUGGUGACUGAAACAAUUUCUGCAAGAAAUUAAACUUACAGGAAGACAGCCUUUGCUACUGAGUCUAUUAUUUCAGAGUUUCCACGACAAUUGGCGUCCCUGGGUGGGCCGUCGUCUGAUCCGACUAACAAACUCAGUACUGAAGGAAAAACUGUGCACCGGCAGGGGUUGGAGUCCCCUGUGGCUGAACCUCCCCGGAAAAAGUGGGUGAGGCGCGGCUCCCGGACGGCUGAGAAUGGGGUUGGAUCACCGCACGGCCCAAAAAACCAAGUGGUUUACUAAGAUCGACUCAAGCAGGACUUCUCUUUCUGAUGAUCCUGAUUUGAAUUCAGUUCCCCCAUGACGUCGCCCACAGGAAUACAGGUUACAGGAGGGGCAGCACAGUGGAUCAGUGUCACCAUCUGCCCCAGUACUUCCAGCAGAACCCGAAAAGCAACCCCCUCCCUAUAAUGUUGUCCCUGGAUCGCCUGUAACGACACGCCUAUGUAGCAAACAAGGGGUGUCCAAAUUGACAGUUGAACACUCUCCCCGUGCAGCAACAGUCCAAAUUCCACAGAUUCAGGUGGCAGCUGGAAAUGGUGAGGUUCAGUAUGUAUAUCAACUUUUGCUGAUAUCAAAGAAGUGGCCCAAACAUUGCCUGAUGUGGAGGAAGUUGGGGGGGAAGAGUAUGUGCGGCAGUUGAAAGAGUUAAUCUCACAGUUUCGACCCUCCACUGGAGAAAUACUGAGAUUACUGGGUAUGCAAAUGAAGCUCAAAUGGUGACGGGUAUCGUCAGGAUUCCCCAAACUGGAUCUCCCAUAUGUUGAAGAACACGGCUCGGGGUACGCACAUUCAGUGCACGACCUGAUGAACAGCAUCAGAACUACGUUCCAGAGGCGCAUGGAUCUCCGUAAAAUAUCAGCAUGCAAACAAGGCCCAAAUGAAAAUGUGUACGAUUAUCUUCACAGUGGUAUUGAAAAGCCACCGGACACUAAUGUAAUGUCACCUUGGGACCGUUUUGUUGAAGGACUGAGAACUGAUAUCUGAGCACAUGUACAUGAACGCUGUGUUGACUGUGAUACUGGCAGACAGGCUGAUGCUGCAAAAUAUGCUGUAUGUGCUGAGAAAGCUCUGAAUGACAAAACAACGAAAAAAGAAUAUAGCAGCACGCCUGCAAAUAGCUCAGCUGUAUGCCUUUGAAGCACAAGGAUCCCAUGCAGGGAGGGGCAGAGAGAAAGUUAGGGGAAGAGGAGCACGAAUGAGGGGCGGAUCCAGAGGGCGCAGAACUCCAAACAAUGAGAAAUGUUUACAAGUGGGUCCAUGGAACACUGGACGAGAGAAUGCCCUAAGAUGAAAAAAGAGGGAGUUUGUUUCAUUUGUGGUGUGCUUGAACAUUGGGCAAAAGAAUGUCCUAAGAACAAAGAACGUUCAAAACCAGCAUUUAAGGGACCAGCAGAGCACAAAGAGGAUUCUGACUGACUGGCUGGGGGACUGAAAAUAGAUAAGGUGACAUCCGAAGGUCAAGAGCAACAUACAUCAACACGCCAGAUUUCAAGGACACACCAUUAGAUAAUGCGGAACUGGAACAGUUUGUGGACGGCUCGGCUUCCAGAGACCCAGUGACAGACAGAUAAAGGAGGGGUUACCUAGAGGAUCUGAAGGACAGCUACACGACCUGAAACACGGUGACUGGGUGGUGGUGUAGGACUACAGGAGGAAGAGCCGGAAAUCUCCUCAUUGGCAAGGACCGUAUCAGGUGCUUCUGACAACAGCAACAGCAGUGAAGGUGGCAGAGAGGGCCACCUGGAUACAUGCAAGCCAUUGUAAGAGAGCAACAGCAUUUGCAGGACAACAAGAAAGCGUGCAUUGAUCCCUGGUGAAAACCUAGAGGGCUCGAAUCACUUCUCUGUGGCGGAAGUCCGGGGAGCGGAGGGAGUGUUCUUACAGUGAGCGAUGUCCUGGUCCCGGUGAAAAAACCAACACUGCCCUGAGAAUUUAGGGGGAGGACCAAAGGGGAAAGCAGGUGACAAUGGCACCAACAAGGAAGCCGUGGAACACAAGGAGUAUGUGUUAUGGUGGGAGAAGCUUGCUGUACUUACACACCUGAAAAUGAUGCAGAUGGACAUGAGAUUCAACAAGGAAUUGAAAAUAAGACAAGAAAUAGAGAUGAACUGGCAAUGCGAGAAGUUACAAGUAGUGACUGGUUUAAUAUUUUUGCACGAUAGCAAUAAACAUUAAUGAGAAUUUUGUUAUCUGUGUUAACAGUAUUGACACUGCUCGCAUUGUUUAUAUGUUGUUUGAUUUUUCUGGCUAGAGGAUGUAUCAGUAAAAUGAUUAGUUCAUCAAUGGGUCAAUACGAACAACUUAAAUCAAAUGCCAGUAUACCUGAUUAUGAUCCUGCACAACCUGACAAGAACCCAGUUCCAGAAUGGGUCCCACCCUAUCAUGAUUAUAAUGAUGAACUUGUGUAGUAAUGUGAUUUAAUUUUCUCUCUUUCCUUAAAGAGCUUGCUCAACCUAUGUUAGCACAAAAACAGCCCUUUGCAAUAUGUUUUAUCAUAUUUGUAUUACUCUGAAUGAUAUAUAUAAUCAAUUGUAAUGCCUCUGUUUUUCUGUUGAUUUAUUUUGUUUAGUGAGCGUUUCAUGCUCAGAUGAGUGAGUGUUAUGGGAAUUUAUGCUCGCCCAAUCAAUCAAUCAGUCAGUCUAUCCAUCCAUCCAUCCA